GACGAACGCUGGCGGCGCGCUUAACACAUGCAAGUCGAGCGAGAACCAGACCUUCGGGUCUGGGGAAAGCGGCGAACGGGUGAGUAACACGUGGGUAACCCACCCUUGGUACUGGGAUAGCCCGGGGAAACCCGGAUUAAUACCGGAUGGCCCAACAGCUCUUCGGGGCGGUUGGAAAAGGUAGCUUCGGCCUCCGACCAAGGACGGGCCCGCGGCGGAUUAGCUUGUUGGUGGGGUAACGGCCCACCAAGGCGACGAUCCGUAGCUGGUCUGAGAGGACGAUCAGCCACACUGGGACUGAGACACGGCCCAGACUCCUACGGGAGGCAGCAGUGGGGAAUCUUGCGCAAUGGGCGAAAGCCUGACGCAGCGACGCCGCGUGGGGGAAGAAGGCUUUCGGGUUGUAAACCCCUUUCAGGAGGGACGAAGCCACUCGGGUGAAUAGCCCAGAGGGUGACGGUACCUCCAGAAGAAGCCCCGGCUAACUACGUGCCAGCAGCCGCCGUAACAC
rnacentral:rRNA from 1 species